rnacentral:lncRNA from 1 species
UUCUUUCCCCUUUAGAACAACAGUGCAAAUAAGAGUUGUAACAUAUCCUUUUGGUUAGUAGUAAACGAUCUCAAUUUUCUUUUAUCAUCUUUUACAUAUUAUUUUUGCUGCCUUAAGAUUAAUGAAAGCUAAUCGAACCAUAACAUCACUUCAUUUACACGAUUCUCAUGUUCAAAGGGAGAGUUGUAACCAGCAGCACUGUACAGCAGAAAGCGGCCACUGUGUUGAAUGGAGGCUGAUGAUUUAUCCCUACCAGUGCCUUUGAGGCUUUUCUUCAAGGCUGAUAGUUGAACAGAGAUGUUGGAGUCAUCCAUGAAACCUCCAAA